AGCGGACUACAAAUCCCAGCAGGCCGCGCGGCCACGGCUCACAGACCCAGCUCAGGAUUGGAGCAUAAGGCGGCAUUCUGAAACCGGGAGACUAGCCUCUGAGCUGCCCUUGCAGCCUACUGGGACUUGUAGUUUUCUGGAAUCGAUGAAUCGGUACCGGAAGGAUUGGGGCGGGAGGUGCAGUUUUGCUCAGAAAUAUUCCCUGUUUCCAUCUGAUGGAACCAGAUCUCUAAGGACCGAGUCGCUGAAAGUCACAGACCGUCAUGAAAUUCUGAUAAUUAACUCAUUAUGAAAAUUUGUGUAAAUCCUUUACCAUUUUUUAUUAGAGUUGAAUACAAAACAGUGGUAUCAGACGCUAAAAAUUUAGUAAUAAACCUGAGAGUAAAUUUCAAUAUUGUG